rnacentral:rRNA from 1 species
ACUCCUACGGGAGGCAGCAGUAAGGAAUAUUGGACAAUGGGCGAAAGCCUGAUCCAGCCAUCCCGCGUGCAGGAUGACUGCCCUAUGGGUUGUAAACUGCUUUUAUAUGGGAAGAAACCCCUGGAUUUAUCUGGGCUGACGGUACCAUACGAAUAAGCACCGGCUAACUCCGUGCCAGCAGCCGCGGUAAUACGGAGGGUGCAAGCGUUACUCGGAAUCACUGGGCGUAAAGAGCGUGUAGGCGGAUCGAUAAGUCAGGAGUGAAAUCCUAUGGCUCAACCAUAGAACUGCUCUUGAAACUGUCAAUCUAGAGUAUGGGAGAGGUANAUGGAAUUUCUGGUGUAGGGGUAAAAUCCGUAGAGAUCAGAAGGAAUACCGAUUGCGAAGGGCGAUCUACUGGAACAUAACUGACGCUGAGACGCGAAAGCUGGGGAGCAAACAGGAUUAGAUACCCUGGUAGCUACGGU